GGACGAACGCCGGUGGCGCGCCUAACACAUGCAAGUCGAGCGAGAACCGGAGCUUCGGCUCCGGGGAAAGCGGCGAACGGGUGAGUAACACGUGGGUAAUCUGCCCUCGGCACCGGGAUAGCCCGGGGAAACCCGGAUUAAUACCGGAUGGCCUCUCGCGCUCUCGAGCGCGAAAGAAAAGGUGGCUUCGGCUUCUGGCCGAGGAUGAGCCCGCGGCCGAUUAGCUUGUUGGUGGGGUAAUGGCUCACCAAGGCUCCGAUCGGUAGCUGGUCUGAGAGGACGAUCAGCCACACUGGGACUGAGACACGGCCCAGACUCCUACGGGAGGCAGCAGUGGGGAAUCUUGCGCAAUGGGCGAAAGCCUGACGCAGCGACGCCGCGUGCGGGAAGAAGGCCUUCGGGUUGUAAACCGCUUUCAGGAGGGACGAAGCCACUCGGGUUAAUAGCCUAGAGGGUGACGGUACCUCCAGAAGAAGCCCCGGCUAACUACGUGCCAGCAGCCGCGGUAAUACGUAGGGGGCUAGCGUUGUCCGGAUUUAUUGGGCGUAAAGAGCGCGUAGGCGGCUAGGUAAGUCCGACGUGAAAUCUGGAGGCUCAACCUCCAGCGGUCGUUGGAAACUACUUGGCUAGAGUCCGGAAGAGGAGAGUGGAAUUCCUGGUGUAGCGGUGAAAUGCGCAGAUAUCAGGAAGAACACCGAUGGCGAAAGCAGCUCUCUGGGACGGUACUGACGCUGAGGCGCGAAAGCGUGGGGAGCGAACAGGAUUAGAUACCCCGGUAGUCCUAGCCUUAAACGAUGAAUGCUUGGUGUCUGGGGUUUUAUAGUCCCCGGGUGCCGUCGCUAACGCUUUAAGCAUUCCGCCUGGGGAGUACGGUCGCAAGACUGAAACUCAAAGGAAUUGACGGGGACCCGCACAAGCGGUGGAGCAUGUGGUUUAAUUCGACGCAACGCGAAGAACCUUACCUGGGCUAGAAUGCCUCUGACAGCCCCAGAGAUGGGGUCUCCUGGGUAAAACCAGGCAGAGUGCAAGGUGCUGCAUGGCUGUCGUCAGCUCGUGUCGUGAGAUGUUGGGUUAAGUCCCGCAACGAGCGCAACCCUUAUCAAUAGUUGCCAGCGGUUCGGCCGGGCACUCUAUUGAGACUGCCGUUGACAAAACGGAGGAAGGUGGGGAUGACGUCAAGUCCUCAUGGCCUUUAUGUCCAGGGCUACACACGUGCUACAAUGGCCGGUACAAAGCGCUGCAAAAGAGCAAUCUGGAGCCAAUCGCAAAAAGCCGGUCUCAGUUCGGAUUGGAGUCUGCAACUCGACUCCAUGAAGUUGGAAUCGCUAGUAAUCGCAGAUCAGCAUGCUGCGGUGAUACAUUCCCGGUCUUGCACACACCGCC
rnacentral:rRNA from 1 species